GAGUUUGAUCGUGGCUCAGAUUGAACGCUGGCGGCAUGCCUUACACAUGCAAGUCGAACGGUAACAGGUCUUCGGAUGCUGACGAGUGGCGAACGGGUGAGUAAUACAUCGGAACGUGCCCAGACGUGGGGGGAUAACGAGGCGAAAGCUUUGCUAAUACCGCAUACGAUCUAAGGAUGAAAGCAGGGGACCGCAAGGCCUUGCGCGUUUGGAGCGGCCGAUGGCAGAUUAGGUAGUUGGUGGGAUAAAAGCUUACCAAGCCGACGAUCUGUAGCUGGUCUGAGAGGACGACCAGCCACACUGGGACUGAGACACGGCCCAGACUCCUACGGGAGGCAGCAGUGGGGAAUUUUGGACAAUGGGCGAAAGCCUGAUCCAGCAAUGCCGCGUGCAGGAUGAAGGCC
rnacentral:rRNA from 1 species